GACGAACGCUGGCGGCGUGCUUAACACAUGCGAGUCGAACGGAAAGGCCCUGCUUUUGUGGGGUGCUCGAGUGGCGAACGGGUGAGUAACACGUGAGUAACCUGCCCUUGACUUUGGGAUAACUUCAGGAAACUGGGGCUAAUACCGGAUAGGAGCUCCUGCUGCAUGGUGGGGGUUGGAAAGUUUCGGCGGUUGGGGAUGGACUCGCGGCUUAUCAGCUUGUUGGUGGGGUAGUGGCUUACCAAGGCUUUGACGGGUAGCCGGCCUGAGAGGGUGACCGGCCACAUUGGGACUGAGAUACGGCCCAGACUCCUACGGGAGGCAGCAGUGGGGAAUAUUGCACAAUGGGCGGAAGCCUGAUGCAGCAACGCCGCGUGCGGGAUGACGGCCUUCGGGUUGUAAACCGCUUUCGCCUGUGACGAAGCGUGAGUGACGGUAAUGGGUAAAGAAGCACCGGCCAACUUCGUG
rnacentral:rRNA from 1 species